GAUGAGCGCUGGCGGCGUGCCUAAUACAUGCAGGUCGAGCGAACGGACGAGAAGCUUGCUUCUCUGAUGUUAGCGGCGGACGGGUGAGUAACACGUGGAUAACCUACCUAUAAGACUGGGAUAACUUCGGGAAACCGUAGCUAAUACCGGAUAAUAUUUUGAACCGCAUGGUUCAAAAGUGAAAGACGGUCUUGCUGUCACUUAUAGAUGGAUCCGCGCUGCAUUAGCUAGUUGGUAAGGUAACGGCUUACCAAGGCAACGACGCAUAGCCGACCUGAGAGGGUGAUCGGCCACACUGGAACUGAGACACGGUCCAGACUCCUACGGGAGGCAGCAGUAGGGAAUCUUCCGCAAUGGGCGAAAGCCUGACGGAGCAACGCCGCGUGAGUGAUGAAGGUCUUCGGAUCGUAAAACUCUGUUAUUAGGGAAGAACAUAUGUGUAAGUAACUGUGCACAUCUUGACGGUACCUAAUCGGAAAGCCACGGCUAACUACGUG
rnacentral:rRNA from 1 species